AUUGCACAGUAUUGUAAAUCGCUUUGGAUAAAAGCGUCAGCUAAAUGACAUGUG
rfam:Gasterosteus aculeatus cont1.003038, whole genome shotgun sequence.